rnacentral:misc_RNA from 1 species
AACCUAGCACACCUGCGGUGUGUACCUGCGGAGGGAUCAUUAAUGAUUGACCGAAAGGUCCUAUCUUAACAUCCCUCACCUCUGUGAACCGUUUGACCUCCGGGUCUAACAACCUAUACAAACAUCAGUGUAAUGAACGUCUUGUUAUCUUAACAAAAACAAAACUUUCAACAAUGGAUCU